rnacentral:lncRNA from 1 species
GAAGCGGCUCCACCCCAGUUUCCAGGGAAUCAGGCCGUCUCCGGUGUGGCGGGUGAGCGCCGCGGCCCUGCGAGCGUCCCCCUCGGAGCGGGUGCGCCACUUGGCGAUGCCCCGCGUACCCGCUGAAGGCUGGCACCCGGACCGCCCCCUGCUGGCCACGGUGAGGAAGGCUGUGCUGACGGCCGUGCCGACCCCCCACAUCUGCCAGCUGUCCCAGCCCAAGAAACUGGCCACCCUGCCACCCCAGAACGCGCACGCGCUGCCCGCGGGGGGGCCGCAGCCGGCCAGGGUCUCGUCCCACAUCAGUAUCCUGGCCGCCCCCAAGUCGCUGCACCCAGAGUACCAGGCCGAUCGGCCCGUGUUGUGGUCGGUCCCGACGUCGGCGCGUCGCGCUGCGCCCAGCGAGCGGGUGCGAGUCCUCGCCCAACCCAAGGUGACGAUGGCGCUCUGCGAGGACCGCGACCCCUACCGCAUCAGCCGGGCCGCCCUGCGCGCCGUCGCCUCCCCCCGAGUCGAGGAGCUCAGCGCCCCGCUGCCGCGAAAGUGCAGGCCGCAGUAGUCGAGCGAGGAGACGGCGUCCGGGGGGGAGCGGGAGUGGGUUGGGGGGCGGGUUGGCUGGCGAAGAGGAAGCAGCUGCUUUGGUUUGAAAAAGCAAACGUGCAAAGCCGACGCUCCUCUGAUCUCGGUCUGUUCCAUCAUGAAUUUUACUCACUUUACUGUACUUUGCACCGCGCUCUACAGGGACUUGCACUCCGGCCUGUCAUUCGAACCUGCGCAUCAGUCCCGUCAGUUAUUUCCACCGCGACCGGACCGAGUCGAACGCGUCGCUACACGUAUCAGUUCCGAAGCGAAACGUUCAUUUCGACCUUUCAGCACAAAUCCUCUCGCAAACUUUUCCACUUUAUCGUUUCUUUUUUACGUUGUUUCCUCCCUGGGACGAACUCGAGUCGUGUUUUCCCUGCAGGCAUGUGGGAGUUGCCUCACUUCGCCUCAUUUUACCUCAUUUCACCUCACUCGCACAGUGUUUACAGCUCGCGGCUCCUGCUCCUCAGCGGCACGAGGACGCGGGGGGCGCGCGGACAGCGAGCACGAGAAGGUCCUUUGCGGCACCUUUAUUUCCGGUCCUUCUUAUCGUCACUUUUCCUCGGCGUUACAGUGUAAGUGUUUGCUGUCCUGCAUUGAUGGGACUCCAGAGUGUGAAUAAAGAAUCUGUGAAUCACUGGGGCUCCUUUCUC